GGCUGCUGACGAUGACUCGGGGAGUGUUUCUACAGUCUGUCAUUUAUCCACAAACCCAAACAUUAACAUUUUUCUGCUGAGAACAUCCAGGAGGAGAGGAGGUUUUCUGCUUCAACUCACUUCCUUUCUUUUCGUCCAGACUUUGCAUCAGUCCAGCUUCUUCCUUCACACGUUGUUGUGGAUUAAAGACCGUGGCUCCUCCCACCAGCAGAACUCACCUGUAAGUCGUCUGGAGCUGCCAUGUGGACGUCGCUGAGUCCAGCUGGGUUCCUGCUCUGCUUUUUGCUGCUGGAUGUCGUUUCUUCAGCACCAGUCAGAAACAAGAAGUCGUCUGCCACAGCAGGGAUCCAAAAGGACUAAAAACUGUCUAAAUUAACACGAAACCAAUCGUAAAUGACACAAACUUCAAACUCGGAAAUGUCUCUCAAUGCUCAGAAAAGACUUACAAAUGACUAAAGUUUUUCCAAAUUGAUUUAAAAAUUUGUCUUGAAAUGUUUCCUACUGAACAAAAAGAUGUUUAAAAUGACUCAAUAACUGUCCAGAAAGAAUCCAGCGUGUCCAAAAUGGAAUAAAUGUUGUUGAAAAUGAAA